AAGCAUUUCGUUGGAAUUAUUAUAACACACAUAACUGUGUUUGGGAAUUAUGUGCGUAGACACGUCCCCUAUGUUUAGUUGCUGCGGCAUCGGGCAUCCAAGAAGGCAAGAAUUGUCUUCCCAUUUGCCCCCCAAAAAAUGUCCUGACAUUACUGUGAUUUUCAGACAAAUGGAAUGACCAUUAUUAUUUCAUGAGUAUGUUAUUAUAAAAGAGAGUUUGCACUUGUUAUAAAAAAAAUUUUACUAUGCAGGACAGUUAAAGGAGAACAAAAAUUGCUUGUUAUCUUGACUCUUUGAGAAAAGGCAAUGUUAGCAUUUUAUAGUCUUUCUGUCUUGGUCUUUUAUGUGUGGGCAAUAUUUAUGUCUACAAAAAAUAAAGUCGUGCUUUGCAUUCGGUUUUGCAGCCAGCUUUUUUCAGUGAGUGGUAUAUUAUGGUCAUCUUUGCAUGUUAGUAGGGAUGUAUAUUUUUUCCUGUAUCCUAUUACGCAACAGUACCCUAAUUUAUUUAAACAUUCAGUGAUAGAUGGAUUAUUUCUGAGUUUUAGAUAUUCUAAGUAAUGCCAUGUCAAGUAUUCUUACACAUCUUUACAGUGAUCUGAUUUGUUUCUUACAUUAAUUCAUAGAAAAGGAAUUCUAGUUAACAGAACUUACACAUUCUUAAGAGUCUGAAUGUUUGAGAUGGCCCUCUCACCAAGGCAUGUUGUAUUCCCACAAAAGCUGUAGUAAUAUUCUAAAUUUUUGCUGUGGUAUUUUUGUGUGUUACGCAAAUCUGUCAUUACCUUAUCCCCUAAGACAGAAUGUAUCUGAUCACACUCAGAAGGAUCAGAAGGAAAUAGGUCAUGGUAAAAGGACCAGACCUUAGCAGGAAAAGAUGGCCCUCCCCCUUGGAAGCAGGGUCUUUCUCCAUCUUUCUGCAGAUGCUGUAUCAGGCUGUUUGAUUAUAUCGUAAAGUGUUGACUUGGUAACUACACAACAGAACAUUUUAUUCUUGUUGAAGGUUAAACAGCCAUGAAAAUGGAGCAUUAUAGUUCAUUUCAAUAGCCAGUUUAUUUCAAGUGUCUGGCUGUAACAAAACCUCAGGGGAAUAUUGUUGAUGUUACUUUUCUUUGGAGGCCAACACGCUAUGACAGAAAUACCUCUUAUUUGUGAAUGUAUGAAUUGCAGUUGCGUAGGACUUUCUUCUUCUCUAAUGCAGGAUUAAUUUGAUGUCCUUACACUUUUGCUGACACCGGGUCACACUGAGUUAUACCAUCAACAUUGUUACCAAUUCAUGUUCUCAAAUUAAUUAUUGAUAGUGGAUUGGCAUGCUGUGUGUAGUAGGAAUAGUUCAAGUUCUUAGGGUCAGACUUAUAAAAUGCUCUGGUCGGGCAGGUAGUAGGCAUGUUGCUUCUUGCGUUCUGCAGAAAUGGAAGGAGCUUCUCCCCAAAUCAGCCUACCUUUAGAGUAACAUGUAAACUGCUUUCCUCUCCCACUUCCUUUUUCCCUUUGUCUCUUCCUCUAAAUAUCUUUGAUAGUUUUAUAAAAAUUCACAUUUUUCCUUACGAGCAACUCAAAGCCUGAAAGAAUCGAUUGAAAGGGGAACAGAAUGCCGACUCUUGACUCCGUCUCAAAAGAACAGAAAAUGGGGACGACGAAAACUCGAAAUAUUUGUUAAAACAUUGUGUCUGGGGUAAUCGUUGACGACUUUCGAACAGAGAACAGAAUUUCCGAUUUGGAAGGGAUUGCAGCGGUUACCACCGGUAAAAAGCACCAUUUAAUGUGCACCCACGUAGUCCUGAGCAAUUUCUGCAUUAGUCAAAUUGGGAUAAGUGACCCUGCCUCAUAGGCUGUUCAAGGAAUAAAUGAGAUAAUUCAUGUAAAAAGUGCUGAACACAGUGCCUGGCAUUAUGGUUUAAGUGCUCAAUAAAUGUUAGCUGCUGCUACCACCAUCUCAUUUACUGUCCCAUCCUGAGCUUGGGUGCCCUUCAGUGUGAAGAGGCCGCGAGUCAGUUCACGAGUGAGUUUUCAGACCCUGGUCUUGGCACUUGGACAGCCCUGGGGGAACGUAUCUUCGGGCGCAAAGUUGAACGCUGCCUGCCCGUCAUGUUCACCUACGAGGCCCAGAUCUCAGUGAGGGAAGAGCCUCAGGAAGAGCUCCCUUAGGUCGGCGGGCUCUACUCACCUAGCUGACCAUGCUCUUCUUAGCUGGUUUCAUCCGUUUCUCCCUGCCAUUCUCUGCCCUCCGCCAGCUCUUCCUGAGCCUCUUCUCCUGUCUUCCUGCACAGAGCACCACUGCAGAGCAAAGCCACGUUCCCUAGGGAGACAGAUCCGUGUGCGAGAAGUAACUAACGGCCUUUCAUGUCCUUCAGCCAGAACGUGAGAGCCUUUGCUGUGUGUUAGGACGUACCUGUUUUCCCACACACCUGCCAGUGCGUCGCUGUUCCCACACUGUGUGAAGACCUCUCAAGUGAUCUGACGUUGCAGGAGAACGUACAGCGUGUCCACCACGUAUGCUGCAGAGACAUCCUGCGUCUGGGCGUUGCUGAGGGUUGGCUGGAUGGAGAGGAGUUUUGCUCAGGGCAGUCCCAUGGGUGGUGUCACAUUUGAAUACAAGUUAGAAAGAAGCCUAGAAAAUUGGAGUGGCCUAGAAAUUAGUUUAGCUGGGCUUUACCAGUUAGAACUGCAUUUUGGGAUAUAUGCUACUUGACUUCUCUGGGCUUCGAUGUUCUCAAAUAGGAAAUUGCUGUGAUGAUACCUACCUCCUAAGACUGUCGUGAGGACUCAGCACAGAACAAGUGGAAAGGGUUUAGCACAGGCCGAACACACAGUUGGCCCAAUGGUGGGUGAUGGUGGUUGUGUCCUAAGCAGUUCCGUUCUAGAGAGAACAUUCUUGUAAAGGGGUGUUCACAGACAGAUCUAGGCCUGAUAGAUUUUUCCAGUCACUCAAGCAAACACAGACGUGACUUCCUAGUUUAUACCUAGCAGUAUGCCAGGUGCAAGAGAGUCAGAUGUGAGUAAAGCAGAGUCUCUGCUGUAAUGCUUGUAGUUAAUAAAAGACAAAAACAAGUAAAAAAGAAAAACCCAGUUGCCCUCCAUUCCACGAUGGCAAGUAUGUAAGAGUGUUUUGGGGUCAUGAAGAGGAUAAAAAAAUUCUGCUGAUUCAACUAGACUGGUGGAAGCAAUCAUUGAUGUACUUGUAGGUUAUGCUUCUGAGUUGUCAGAGUCAUUAAAAACAACUCUUAUUAUGGAAAAUAUCAAGCUUAUUAUACGGAAGUGAGAAAAUAAUGCAAUGAACCCCCAUGUAUCCAUCAUUCAGCUUCAACAGUUACCAACUCCUGGCCAAUCCACUUUCAUCUCUGUCCAUACAUCCAUUCUCACUGACCUCAGAUUAUUUGGAAAUGCCAGUCAUCAUAUCAUUUAAUGAUAAUUUCAUCAUAAAUGAAUAUAAAUAUUUCAAUAUGUGUUUGUAAAAGACUAGGAUUCAUCUUUCUUCUGUUUUAAGCCUCCAUGUCCUCCAAAUUACAGAUAUUUUAGGUGUAGUUAUCACUCAUGAUCUAUGGAUAUUACGAGAUAAGCCUGAAUUCAGCACCAUAGGACCAAUCACUAAAUGAACAAAUUAAAGUUUUUUUAAAAAAACUUUCAUCCUUUGAAAGGUGCAAAUAAAAUUAUAUGUUACAAAAAUUUCUGUUUUGUGUCAUGUAACCUGACUUGUGAUUUUAGCAAUGGGGUCAUGCUUUUUAAAGAUAUAAAUGCCCUCUGAAGCAUGUUAUUUUCUUUUAAAUCUAGAAAGUCGAUAGGUAGGUUUCCUUGCUCCCUAUUUAGCAUUGAGAUAAUUUUUUUAAACUAAAAAUCAAAGCACAACUUUUGAUUUCUACUGUUCCCUCUUAGAGGAAGAGAUUAAAAAAAAACGUAUUAGAUGGGGCCUGCUGUAUGAGAAUUGGAGAAAAAUGUGGGCUAGUGCUGCCUAUGUAAGUUUUAUCAAGUUAAAUUACAGGGCAGCUUUUUACAAAAUGUUCAGAAAAUAAGUGUGUGUGUGUGUGUGUGUGUGUGUGUGUGUUUCUUUUUGCUGGGCCUAAACCUUGCUAUGUGGAAUGAUUUUUCCUUACUCUUCCAUGAGCAAGAAUGUUACUGAAUAAAAAGUCAAAUUCCUAUGAAA